rnacentral:rRNA from 1 species
CCUACGGGUGGCAGCAGUGAGGAAUAUUGGUCAAUGGACGCAAGUCUGAACCAGCCAUGCCGCGUGCAGGAAGACGGCUCUAUGAGUUGUAAACUGCUUUUGUACGAGGGUAAACGCAGAUACGCGUAUCUGUCUGAAAGUAUCGUACGAAUAAGGAUCGGCUAACUCCGUGCCAGCAGCCGAGGUAAUACGGAGGAUUCAAGCGUUAUCCGGAUUUAUUGGGUUUAAAGGGUGCGUAGGCGGUCGGAUAAGUUAGAGGUGAAAUCCCGAGGCUCAACUUCGGAAUUGCAUCUGAUACUGUGCGGCUAGAGAGUAGUUGCGGUAGGCGGAAUGUAUGGUGUAGCGGUGAAAUGCUUAGAGAUCAUACAGAACACCGAUUGCGAAGGCAGCUUACCAAGCUACUACUGACGUUGAGGCACGAAAGCGUGGGGAGCAAACAGGAUUAGAUACCCGAGUAGUC